UGGCGACCGGCGCACGGGUGAGUAACACGUAUCCAACCUGCCGAUGACUCGGGGAUAGCCUUUCGAAAGAAAGAUUAAUACCCGAUGGCAUAGUUCUUCCGCAUGGUAGAACUAUUAAAGAAUUUCGGUCAUCGAUGGGGAUGCGUUCCAUUAGGUUGCUGGCGGGGUAACGGCCCACCAAGCCUUCGAUGGAUAGGGGUUCUGAGAGGAAGGUCCCCCACAUUGGAACUGAGACACGGUCCAA
rnacentral:rRNA from 1 species